AAAAAAGGUAAGCUACUAAGAGCGAAUGGUGGAUGCCUUGACUGGUAAAGGCGAUGAAGGACGUACUAGACUGCGAUAAGCUACGGGGAGCUGUCAAGAAGCUUUGAUCCGUAGAUUUCCGAAUGGGGCAACCCAAUGUAUAGAGAUAUACAUUACCUAUAUAGGAGCGAACGAGGGGAAUUGAAACAUCUUAGUACCCUCAGGAAAAGAAAUCAAUAGAGAUUGCGUCAGUAGCGGCGAGCGAAAGCGCAAGAGGGCAAACCCAGUGCUUGCACUGGGGGUUGUAGGACUGCAAUGUGCAAGAGGUAAGUUUAGCAGAACAUUCUGGAAAGUAUAACCAUAGAGGGUGAUAGUCCCGUAUGCGAAAAACAAACCUUAGCUAGCAGUAUCCUGAGUAGGGCGGGACACGAGGAAUCCUGUCUGAAUCUGGGUCGACCACGAUCCAACCCUAAAUACUAAUACCAGAUCGAUAGUGCACAAGUACCGUGAGGGAAAGGUGAAAAGAACUGAGGUGAUCAGAGUGAAAUAGAACCUGAAACCAUUUGCUUACAAUCAUUCAGAGCCCUAUGUAGCAAUACAGGGUGAUGGACUGCCUUUUGCAUAAUGAGCCUGCGAGUUGUGGUGUCUGGCAAGGUUAAGCAAACGCGAAGCCGUAGCGAAAGCGAGUCUGAAUAGGGCGCUUAGUCAGAUGCUGCAGACCCGAAACGAAGUGAUCUAUCCAUGAGCAAGUUGAAGCUAGUGUAAGAACUAGUGGAGGACUGAACCCAUAGGCGUUGAAAAGCCCCGGGAUGACUUGUGGAUAGGGGUGAAAGGCCAAUCAAACUUCGUGAUAGCUGGUUCUCUCCGAAAUAUAUUUAGGUAUAGCGUUGUGUCGUAAUAUAAGGGGGUAGAGCACUGAAUGGGCUAGGGCAUACACCAAUGUACCAAACCCUAUCAAACUCCGAAUACCUUAUAUGUAAUCACAGCAGUCAGGCGGCGAGUGAUAAAAUCCGUCGUCAAGAGGGAAACAACCCAGACUACCAGCUAAGGUCCCUAAAUCUUACUUAAGUGGAAAACGAUGUGAAGUUACUUAAACAACCAGGAGGUUGGCUUAGAAGCAGCCAUCCUUUAAAGAAAGCGUAAUAGCUCACUGGUCUAGUGAUUUUGCGCGGAAAAUAUAACGGGGCUAAAGUAAGUACCGAAGCUGUAGACUUGCACACAACUUAGAUUAUUUAAGUUUAGAAUAUGAGAAACUAAGUUAUAUGUUUAGUUAUAUUUUUACUGAUUUUUAUAGAGUAAAGAUAGAAAUAAAACUUAGUAAAAUCAGUAAAAAUAUUCUUAGACUAAAGUUAAGUAGUUUAAGUUGUGUGCAAGUGGUAGGAGAGCGUUCUAUUUGCGUCGAAGGUAUACCGGUAAGGAGUGCUGGAGCGAAUAGAAGUGAGCAUGCAGGCAUGAGUAGCGAUAAUUAAUGUGAGAAUCAUUAACGCCGUAAACCCAAGGUUUCCUACGCGAUGCUCGUCAUCGUAGGGUUAGUCGGGUCCUAAGUCGAGUCCGAAAGGGGUAGACGAUGGCAAAUUGGUUAAUAUUCCAAUACCAACAUUAGUGUGCGAUGGAAGGACGCUUAGGGCUAAGGGGGCUAGCGGAUGGAAGUGCUAGUCUAAGGUCGUAGGAGGUUAUACAGGCAAAUCCGUAUAACAAUACUCCGAGAACUGAAAGGCUUUUUGAAGUCUUCGGAUGGAUAGAAGAACCCCUGAUGCCGUCGAGCCAAGAAAAGUUUCUAAGUUUAGCUAAUGUUGCCCGUACCGUAAACCGACACAGGUGGGUGGGAUGAGUAUUCUAAGGCGCGUGGAAGAACUCUCUUUAAGGAACUCUGCAAAAUAGCACCGUAUCUUCGGUAUAAGGUGUGGUUAGCUUUGUAUUAGGAUUUACUCCGAAAGCAAGGAAACUUACAACAAAGAGUCCCUCCCGACUGUUUACCAAAAACACAGCACUCUGCUAACUCGUAAGAGGAUGUAUAGGGUGUGACGCCUGCCCGGUGCUCGAAGGUUAAUUGAUGGGGUUAGCAUUAGCGAAGCUCUUGAUCGAAGCCCGAGUAAACGGCGGCCGUAACUAUAACGGUCCUAAGGUAGCGAAAUUCCUUGUCGGUUAAAUACCGACCUGCAUGAAUGGCGUAACGAGAUGGGAGCUGUCUCAAAGAGGGAUCCAGUGAAAUUGUAGUGGAGGUGAAAAUUCCUCCUACCCGCGGCAAGACGGAAAGACCCCGUGGACCUUUACUACAGCUUGAUACUGCUACUUGGAUAAGAAUGUGCAGGAUAGGUGGGAGGCUUUGAGUAUAUGACGCCAGUUGUAUAUGAGCCAUUGUUGAGAUACCACUCUUUCUUAUUUGGGUAGCUAACCAGCUUGAGUUAUCCUCAAGUGGGACAAUGUCUGGUGGGUAGUUUGACUGGGGCGGUCGCCUCCCAAAUAAUAACGGAGGCUUACAAAGGUUGGCUCAGAACGGUUGGAAAUCGUUCGUAGAGUAUAAAGGUAUAAGCCAGCUUAACUGCAAGACAUACAAGUCAAGCAGAGACGAAAGUCGGUCUUAGUGAUCCGGUGGUUCUGUGUGGAAGGGCCAUCGCUCAAAGGAUAAAAGGUACCCCGGGGAUAACAGGCUGAUCUCCCCCAAGAGCUCACAUCGACGGGGAGGUUUGGCACCUCGAUGUCGGCUCAUCGCAUCCUGGGGCUGGAGCAGGUCCCAAGGGUAUGGCUGUUCGCCAUUUAAAGCGGUACGCGAGCUGGGUUCAGAACGUCGUGAGACAGUUCGGUCCCUAUCUGCCGUGGGCGUAAGAAGAUUGAAGAGAUUUGACCCUAGUACGAGAGGACCGGGUUGAACAAACCACUGGUGUAGCUGUUGUUCUGCCAAGAGCAUCGCAGCGUAGCUAAGUUUGGAAAGGAUAAACGCUGAAAGCAUCUAAGCGUGAAGCCAACUCUAAGAUGAAUCUUCUCUAAGCUCUCUAGAAGACUACUAGUUUGAUAGGCUGGGUGUGUAAUGGAUGAAAGUCCUUUAGCUGACCAGUACUAAUAGAGCGUUUGGCUUAUCUUUAAUAAAGCAU
rnacentral:rRNA from 1 species